CUCUUUCCAUUGCGGGGCCCAGUAAGAUGGCUUUGGAUUUAGACGGUGGAGCCGAUGGAUGUGGUAAAAAUUUUGAUCAUGCGAAUGAUCGUGUCACUGUAGCGAAAGAGACAGCCAUAGAUGAGGAGAUGGUGUGUUUGGUCUUAAUUUAGAAAAAACUUUGAAGGAGAAAAAGGACCAAAAGAAAGCUGUUCAAGACCUGUUACCUGAUGUGCAUCGUCGAAAGCGUAAGGGGGCGUUCGUUAGUGAGUCUUCCCCAGCGAAACGGAGCGCAUCUUUCCACCCAUCUACUAGUAGGGAAAUGCUUUUUAAUACAGGGUCUUUUCGUGCCCCCACACAGAAGUUUACAAGUAGGCCUUUUGAAAAAAGGGGAUCAUAUCCUAACAAAGGCUACCAUAAUAACCGCAAACCUUCCUUUACGGUCGGCUCUCAUAGGAAAGGCAAAGAUCCACAACAAUGACGAGACUGUAAAUUAUUGGAUCCAAAGAGAGCUUUUUCUAUAUAUUUGAAGAAAACAGAAAUUUUUCGUCAACAAAAUGGGCAAGAUCAGACAAAGGUCUUCUUGGGUAUUAAGAAGCCUCAUCAUCCGGUAACGGCACAGACAUUGUCUAGGUGGAUUGUUAAUAACGGUUAAAAUGGCUUACACAGGUGAUGUGGAGCCAGUUGUGCGGGGACAUUCAACUAGAGCGGUAGGAGCAUCUUGGGCUCUGUAUAAAGGGGCAUCCAUGAAAAGAAUCAUGGAGAGUGCGGAUUGGACUCAAGCCUCCACGUUUAUUGAUUUUUAUUUACAUGAUGUUAAUGUAAAUUUUUUACAAACACAAUAACGGGUUAGUGAGGUGUUUGACUGAAAUUUCGGCGAAAGUCGAAUGGUUAUUUGUUUAAUUCCCGGCGAG